UUAAAAUAGUAUCAUCCUGAGUGUGAUGGUACCAACUCAGAAAUGAAUGGGACAGGAUUUAAGUUAUUUUGAAAUUUCCCCUGAAAUAGCAUUUUGUUAAUGCUAUUUUUUUUUGUUUGUUCGAGAAUAAAAGUAAGUAGCAUGGCAAUAACAAUUUUAGGCAGCAUCAUUAACUAUGGGUGCGCCUCGGUACACAAUAAUGAAAAAGUGUUUUCUAAGAUACCAAAUCUCCUUUGAGGUAGAGAAAAGCAUAAGCAGAUGAGAAUCUUCUCUAUAAAUAACUCUUUUAGGACGCGAGGGUCCAGUGGGGGUAAAUACUGUGCUGCGAUGAGGAGCUGUGGCUAGUAGAAGAGGUGGAUGGUGGCUACCGGCUGUCAUUUUGAGACCAACUGCAAUAAAGAAUGCUCUUUUCUAAAUUUUCAUUUUCUAAAUUUCCCUCAGAAAGGGGGCCCAUGGGAUUCACGGAGGGCUACUUCUGAACCUGUGUGGGGAAGCAGACCUGGGUGUUUCCAGGGCUUGACAUUGGUGGCCAUAAAAACCCAUCGUUCAGAUCUCCUCCUGAGCAGAGCACAGUUGACUGACAGCCUGAGCUGUUAUCCUCCAAGUACAGUGCCAUUUCUGAAAGAGAUGGGCUACUUCUCCAUCGACUUGGUUGACGUUUUCUCAGAAAUGGGCUAUUAUCAGAGAUUGUUUUUACUCAAUCCUUUUCUCUAUUUUUUCUUGACAGAUGUCAGAUUUGCAUCAUGGUCUGAAGGUUCUUCCCACCUUCUCUAGACUUCUCCCGUUUAUCCGUCAAGGCCUUCCCCCUCCACCUCCCCAGAAAUAACACUGGAUGUUGUGUUGAAGAUUGGAUAGAAAGGAAGGCAAUUAGAAGCAAUUUUCUCUGAAGAAAGAAGGGAAUGGGAACCAGAAUUCAGCUCUAACCCCAUGAUUAUUCUGAGGGAAGAGAGAAGGCUGAUUGUGUACAAUGGUGAGAUUGCACAGAUUUUUUUUAAAUUACUUGCUUAAUUUUUUUUCUUUCAACAAAGUCCAUGUGCAUUUUAGCUCUGUUGCACGUAGCAGUGCAGUUUCAUAAUGUUUUUUUUACGUGUGCACAUGAAAAUAUAUAAGCAAAUUAUUUUAGGAGUGCUUGAUAUAGUAUAAAUAUGGAGCUUUCCUAUGGUACUGACCUGUGACACAGAAAUUAUUUUUUCAUGUGAGUUCCCAGCAUUUAUCAUAGAAUUUUCAGAUCACUCCUCCACCCCUUCUUCCUCAAAUAUAUCUUUAAUUUUUUUAUUAUGGUAAAACACACAUAACAUAAAAUUUACCAUCUUAACCAUUUUUAAGUGUACAGUUCAGAAGUAUUAAAUACAUUUGUAACAUGUUACCAUAACCACCUUCCUUUUCCAGAUGGAUGCAGAAAAAGAUCUUGUAUAACUGAAACUCUGCACCCACCAUACAAUAAGUACCCAUUUUCCUCCGUUCCCUUAGCUCCUAACAACCACCCUUCUACUUUCUGUUUAUAUGAUUUUGACUACUUUAUGUACUUCACAUAAGUGGAAUUACAUAUCA